UAAAUACCAGCUACUGCUACUAUAUUACUAACUCAAUUCAUAAUAAAUUCUUGCAUAUAAUUAACUUAACUAUGAUAUAACCAAAACUAAUUGAUAUAAUGAUAACUGGUUAUUCUCAUGAAAAACACAACUUCAAAACCCAAGAUUUCAUUCAAUAGCUUUCCACUUCAAUGUAAGUUGAAUUUGAAACAAGACUAUUUCAAUUUGAUAAAGCUAAUUUGCUCAUUGUAUACAAAGGAAACUUGCUUUCCUCCAUAUAUGCCUAAAUGCAUACUUUGUAGUGACAAAUUGUAUCUGUAAUUGGUUUGACAGGUACGGACCUGACCGCCCAAAGUACUUGGGCCCAUUCUCCGAGCAAACUCCAUCAUACCUGACCGGUGAAUUCCCUGGAGACUAUGGGUGGGACACUGCUGGACUUUCAGCUGACCCAGAGACAUUUGCCAAGAACCGUGAGCUCGAAGUGAUCCACAGCAGAUGGGCCAUGCUUGGUGCACUAGGCUGUGUCUUCCCUGAAAUUCUUGCAAGGAAUGGUGUCAAAUUCGGCGAGGCAGUUUGGUUCAAGGCCGGAGCCCAAAUCUUCUCCGAAGGUGGCCUUGACUAUCUUGGCAACCCAAACCUUGUCCAUGCCCAGAGCAUCCUGGCUAUCUGGGCCAGCCAAGUUGUGCUCAUGGGAUUUGUGGAAGGAUACCGAGUUGGUGGAGGUCCACUUGGUGAAGGACUAGACAAAAUUUACCCGGGAGGUUCUUUUGACCCACUUGGAUUGGCUGAUGAUCCUGAAGCAUUUGCUGAAUUGAAGGUUAAGGAGCUUAAGAACGGACGAUUGGCAAUGUUUUCUAUGUUUGGAUUCUUUGUCCAGGCCAUUGUCACCGGAAAGGGCCCAAUUGAGAACCUCUACGACCACCUUGCUGACCCAGUAGCCAACAAUGCAUGGGCUUAUGCCACUAACUUUGUACCCGGAAAGUGAAACUAUCAAAUUCUCUUCUCUCUCGGCUGUAAUAUUAAACUUGUUUGGUGACAUCCAACUUCUGUAAUCUUUACCUGUUCCCUCAAGUAAUAUAGCAAGCAGAGAUGCUUAUCUGGGCAAUAUCUUGGAUGGAUUAUCAGCAACUUUAUCAUGGAAUUAAAAAUUACACAAACCUGCAAUGUAUCAGCACAGCCACCCACUAUUAACACACUUCUCCUCGUUCCCUAUAUUACUGGAAACCAAUUUACCACACUUGACAGCAUACAUAACAGAAAUUAGGUAAAGUCUGUUUUAAGAACAAAGUUGACAAAUUUGUAACUUGCGAUAUCAUUCCUACUGACCAAAUUAUCAAAUUUGCAACUCAGCACUACCCUGCAUAGUUAUUGCUCUGUAUUCUUAUUAUUCUGUUGCACAGCACCUUACCUGAUAAUGUUCUAGGAAUCAGUUUGGUCUCUACAAUAGUCAGGUAGUUGGUAUUGAUAUAUUUUUUUUCUCUUACAAAGAUCCCCAUCUUUCCAGAUUUGUCGUCCAAGACCCUAUAUUCACCAAUAAUCACUUUAACUUAAUCUCCCUUUUCCUAAUGAUAAAAUCAGCCAGUCACAGACCUUACUGAACAAAGUUGAAUUCCAUUAAUUCCAAUCAUCUCAUAUUCUCAUUGCAAGUUCAAUGUUCGCAUGUUUCACGUACCCAUCUAUCAAAGAGUCCAAGGAAAAUGGGUCAUUUUUAAUACAGUCAUCAAAUACCUUCUGAGCUGAAUUAAUGUCACUACACAGUCAGUUUUAACCAACAAGUUGUGCACAUAAAAAUUUCGACCACUUCUCAGUACCAACUUAUGGAUUCAGUUUCCUUCCUCGGUGGAACGCAAACAUGCACACCCGUUAAUUAUGCAAGAAAAAGUGUAGACAGAACAAAGCAAUUUGUCCACAUAGUGAGAUGGUGGUGGUUUUCAAUUUAGCAUUGAUGAUGGUGUUCCAAGAAAUGUGUGUUUUAUUUUGUUUUUGUUUAAAUGGUGAAGACUCUCGAUAUUGAUAUUGCACAGAGAGACAGAAACGGAGCCGGGAUUCGAUAUUUGGGGAGGGGGGGGGGGCAAGAAUUUUUUUUACAAAACAUAUUUUUACUAAAACAAAGAUAAUGUAGUAAUAUAAUUUUCUUUGACAAAGACAACAAAACAUAGCAAAAAAAUGUCUUUUAGAACAUAUCAAAGCUUCGUCAGAAUUGCACCCGACGUUCUUUUAAAUCACAAAAUCCAUCUAUUAUACUAAAUGGAAAAAUAUCUACUCCUAGAAUUAUUUUCACAAUAGUCAUUAGUCAAUAUUAUUAUACUAAGCAAUAUCCAGUCUGAUUAGAACAUUAAAAUUUUAGACUAUUAUAUUUUUUGUAAGACCCACUUGGUAUUCUAAUGAAUUUAGCCCAAUAGUCAUUAGCUAAUGUUUAUCUUCACAAUAGUCAUUAGCCCGCUUGGUAUUUUAUUGUCUGGCCUAAAAAAAUUUGGAAGGGGGCCAUGGCCCCCUCCAGCCCCAAUGUGGCUCCGUCCCUGGAGAGAGACUAGUGGAGGUGUGAGAGAGGUGAAAUUGAAGCCGUAAGUUUGAGCAACUGAUGAUGUUGAACUUACUACUACUGUACCAGGUGAAUGAAACUGAAAGGAGAUAUGACUAGUGCGCAUACGCUUGGACUGAUGACAAAUGACCUUUCAAACUCUUCCAGUAAUUUCUAACGCUGUUAAUCGGAGAGGGGAAAGUAAAGGUCUUGGGAAGGUAUUUUUACCUUUUCUCAUUCUUAGUCCUAGACCAGAGUGGUCCUAGUUGAACAGGAUAGACCUGAAGCCCACUACUAUCUUACAAUUACUUAGGUGGACAGUUUUUGUGGUCUACAAUCAACAUCCCAAACAGAAGAUCUUUUUAGCACCACAAUAACCUCUCCCUCUAAAACUAAGGAUCAGAAUGGAGAUCAAUGUCCAACUCACAAACCAAUGAGAUGCUGCUGAGCCAUAGAGUGAGUAUCCUAAUCCACAUAUCUUAUCAGUUCCCUAUAUUAACCUCUUCACCAUCCCAUUCACUUCCAUAAGCUUUUUCAAACCAUCUACAACACCAUCACUGGGGAAACCAUUAAACACAAAGAAGCUUUCACAGAGGCAUGGCAACCUCCACCAUCCAGCAGUCCGCAUUUGCAGGCCAGACGGCUUUGAAGUUGCAAAAUGAACUCGUCAGAAAGGUUGGCAGCCUUGGAGGUGGCCGCAUCACCAUGAGGCGUACUGUGAAAAGUGCUCCAGAAAGUAUAUGGUAAAUGCUACAAAUUUCAAUUUAUUUGGAUCAAAGAGAUUCAGUUACAAAAUUAACCAUUAGGUCAAUUUUUUGGCAACUACUUUAGGAACAUAAUAUUCCUCCUUUCAGACUUCUAAUAGUGUCAAGUGACAUCUCUAUGUUCAUAAGCUUUUAUAGCUUACGGUUAUCGUUCUCAUUGAAGUCACUUCCACAUUCUGAAACGAAAAAAUAUAAGAUGUUAUAUAUAUCUAUCUCCCUUUCAUUGUGCAUAAUAUUUGAUUCAGCCUCCUAAUAGCAAUACGAAAUCCAACUUCUGGUGAUGCUUGUCUUACUGAAAUAGUCACACCGACCUAUUCGAACAAAGUUAUACAAAUUUAUUGUAGAUGUUUACUUCUACACAAGAAUGGUCUUGGAUACAAUAAGAAGAAAAUCUGAUGUAGUAAAUAAGAAAAAGUUGGCCAUGGUUAGCAAAGAAGAACUCACGUGUACAAAACUUUGGCUCUAUCUUUGAUUCAACACAUUGUAAGCAGAAUCUGACUAACACAUCCUCUGAUAAUUUUAUCAGGUACGGACCUGACCGUCCGAAGUACUUGGGCCCAUUCUCCGAGCAAACUCCAUCAUACUUGACCGGUGAAUUCCCUGGUGACUAUGGGUGGGACACAGCUGGGCUAUCAGCUGACCCCGAGACAUUUGCCAAGAACCGUGAGCUCGAGGUGAUCCACUCCAGAUGGGCCAUGCUUGGUGCACUAGGCUGUGUCUUCCCUGAAAUUCUUGCAAAGAAUGGUGUCAAAUUCGGCGAGGCAGUUUGGUUCAAGGCCGGAGCCCAAAUCUUCUCCGAAGGUGGCCUUGAUUAUCUUGGCAACCCAAAC
rnacentral:lncRNA from 1 species